UACAGAGGUGGCAAGCGUUGUUCGGAAUUACUGGGCGUAAAGAGCGCGCAGGCGGCUGGUCAAGUCCGAUGUGAAAUCUCCCGGCUCAACUGGGAAACUGCAUCGGAAACUGAUCGGCUUGAAGAUGGGAGAGGGUAGUGGAAUUCCCGGUGUAGUGGUGAAAUGCGUAGAUAUCGGGAGGAACACCAGUGGCGAAGGCGACUACCUGGCCCAUUCUUGACGCUGAGGCGCGAAAGCUAGGGGAGCGAACGGG
rnacentral:rRNA from 1 species